CAGCAGCCGCGGUAAUACGUAGGGUGCGAGCGUUAAUCGGAUUUACUGGGCGUAAAGCGUGCGCAGGCGGCCCGUUAAGACAGGUGUGAAAUCCCUGGGCUCAACCUAGGAAUUGCGCUUGUGACUGGCGGGCUCGAGUACGGUAGAGGGGGGUGGAAUUCCUGGUGUAGCAGUGAAAUGCGUAGAGAUCAGGAGGAACACCGAUGGCGAAGGCAGCCCCCUGGGCCUGUACUGACGCUCAUGCACGAAAGCGUGGGGAGCAAACAGGAUUAGAUCCCCUGGUAGUCCACGCCCUAAACGAUGGGUACUAGCCGUUUGGUGCGCGAUAGCGCUGAGUGGCGAAGCUAACGCGAGAAGUACCCCGCCUGGGGAGUACGGCCGCAAGGUUGAAACUUAAAGGAAUUGGCGGG
rnacentral:rRNA from 1 species